AGAGUUUGAUCCUGGCUCAGAAUCAACGCUGGCGGCGUGCCUAACACAUGCAAGUCGAACGCGAGAGGGGCUUCGGCCCCGAUUGAGUGGCGAACGGGUGAGUAACGCGUGGGUGACCUACCUUCGAGCGGGGGAUAACGUCCCGAAAGGGACGCUAAUACCGCAUAACAUCCUGCCUUUGAACAGGUGGAGAUCAAAGCUGGGGAUCGCAAGACCCGGCACUUGGAGAGGGGCCCGCGUCUGAUUAGCUAGUUGGUGAGGUAAUGGCCCACCAAGGCGACGAUCAGUAUCCGGCCUGAGAGGGCGGACGGACACACUGGGACUGAGACACGGCCCAGACUCCUACGGGAGGCAGCAGUGGGGAAUUGUUCACAAUGGGCGCAAGCCUGAUGACGCAACGCCGCGUGGAGGAUGAAGGUCUUCGGAUCGUAAACUCCUGUUGCUCGGGACGAAAAGCUCCGACCUAAUACGUCGGAGUCUGACGGUACCGGGUGAGGAAGCCCCGGCUAACUCUGUGCCAGCAGCCGCGGUAAUACAGAGGGGGCAAGCGUUGUUCGGAAUUACUGGGCGUAAAGGGCGCGUAGGCGGCCUGUUAAGUCGAACGUGAAAUCCCCGGGCUCAACCCGGGAACUGCGUCCGAUACUGGCAGGCUUGAAUCCGGGAGAGGGAUGUGGAAUUCCAGGUGUAGCGGUGAAAUGCGUAGAUAUCUGGAGGAGCAUCGGUGGCGAAGGCGGCAUCCUGGACCGGUAUUGACGCUGAGGCGCGAAAGCCAGGGGAGCAAACGGGAUUAGAUACCCCCGUAGUCC
rnacentral:rRNA from 1 species